rnacentral:lncRNA from 1 species
CUUCCUAUGGGGACAAAGAAGGCGGUGGCUAGCUUUUCAAGAGACUAGACUUCCAUCCCUACACCAACCAGGUUCCAGCACCUCAGGGAGAGGCUGAGUUGGGGUUUGCAGCUAUUCUGCCUAGCAGGGGAGCAGGAGAAAGACUGAUCUGUGGACCUCUCUCCGGUCUGAGUUGAAGGAACUAGGAUGAGGCCUCUGUCAUCAAACUGCUCACCCACUCUCUGAACUAGUUGCUCACCAUGUUCUGCUUCCCACAUAGGAACGGGUGGUGCAGGGUGGAGAAGAGCCCUAACUGAAUCACUCAAUCUGUCUCUCUCUCCCAGGGGUAGUUUCUGACUUGGGGCAGAGUUCCAGCGGAAGGAUCACUCCGUGUAAGAGCAUUUACCAGUCUUCAGGGCUCCUCAUUAUUCACCCGUCAUCCAUCCACCCAUCUAUCCAACAGUGACCUUGGACGCCACCAUGCAGGAGUCUACAGAGGCCCUUCAAGUAUUGUACAGACCAGAGAACCUCCACAUCCAAGAAUUGCAGAGGAAUGCACGGGCUGCCAUGUGCUAUUGGGGAGGCUCUAAAAUCAAUGGUGUGCUUGGGAGAGGGGACGCAUCAAGGCAGGGCAGCCUCGCAGUGGUGUGCCAGGUGAGCAGCCUCUCCCCCUGGUCUGCAGAGCGCUCGAGGUGUGGUGCGCGGCAAGGCCUGCCAGUCAAGACAGGACAAAGCAGCUCUCGGCUGGGGGCCACAUGCCUGUCCACAGUCCCUGGUGCAUCAGAGAUGAGAGCUGAC